UACGAAGGGGGCUAGCGUUGUUCGGAAUUACUGGGCGUAAAGCGCACGUAGGCGGAUUUGUAAGUAGGGGGUGAAAUCCCAGGGCUCAACCCUGGAACUGCCUUCUAAACUGCAAGUCUGGAGGUCAGGAGAGGCGAGUGGAAUACCGAGUGUAGAGGUGAAAUUCGUAGAUAUUCGGAAGAACACCAGUGGCGAAGGCGACUUACUGGACACAUAUUGACGCUGAGGUGCGAAAGCGUGGGGAGCAAACAGG
rnacentral:rRNA from 1 species